CAUUCUUCAUAUCUAAUAAAGACUGGUCUAUCUUUUUUUAUUAGGUUUGUUCCUGAAAUUUUACAAUCAUCAAAUUGAAAUUCGAUUGAUGAUUAUGUUCGAGAUCAAUUCGGCGGUUCCAUUGUUCAUCAGCAUUCAAUUCAAGAAUAGUUUGACCAUGUUCAACACAUGAUAACAGGUUAGGCUAGGGUUAGAUUAGGCUUAGGAACAUGAUCUGAGCUAUUUCCUAUUGAAUUUGAUGCUGAUUGAAUCUUUGGAAUCAAUGAAGCGAUCGAAAACAUAAUUAUAAGUCGAAGAUUCAUUGGAUGGAACACAUACUUGAAAGUGAUCAUGGAUCGUCGGCGAACAAUUGAGAAAUUGAAUCUCGAACCACGGAUAGAAUUUGGACAUUGUCUUGUAACAUGGACCGCGAAUAUUGGAUCUAUUUCAAAUGAUCAUGGAUCGCCGGCGAACAAUUGGGAAAUUGAAUCUCGAACCACGGAUAGAAUUUGGACAUUGUCUUGUAACAUGGACCGCGAAUAUUGGAUCUAUUUCAAAUGAUCAUGGAUCGCCGGCA